UACGUAGGGGGCAAGCGUUGUCCGGAAUCAUUGGGCGUAAAGCGCGCGUAGGCGGCCCGGUAAGUCCGCUGUGAAAGUCAAAGGCUCAACCUUUGAAUGUCAGCGGAUACUGCCGGGCUAGAGUCCGGAAGAGGCGAGUGGAACUCCUGGUGUAGCGGUGGAAUGCGCAGAUAUCAGGAAGAACACCAACGGCGAAGGCAGCUCGCUGGGACGGAACUGACGCUGAGGCGCGAAAGCGUGGGGAGCGAACGGG
rnacentral:rRNA from 1 species